CGGUGCCUGGUAGCGUCGGAAACCACCGCGGGGAUCUCCUCUGUCACCAUCGGCUGUAGGAAGAAGAAAAGCUUUCCCACGGGCCCUGCCUAUCAACACCACACCAGUCAGGCCCGACUGUUUAACUGGAAGCGACUUCAUGUGUAGUUGCUUUCACGCAAGGAAAGCGUACUCCAAGCGUACUCAAAUUCCUAUAAUCUUCUAAAAAGCCUAGUUAUGAUU
rnacentral:lncRNA from 1 species